UAUGCUUGCACACUGGGGAUCAGACCU
rnacentral:piRNA from 1 species